AGGGAAUCUUCCGCAAUGGACGAAAGUCUGACGGAGCAACGCCGCGUGAGUGAUGAAGGCCUUCGGGUCGUAAAACUCUGUUGUUAGGGAAGAACAAGUACCGGAGUAACUGCCGGUACCUUGACGGUACCUAACCAGAAAGCCACGGCUAACUACGUGCCAGCAGCCGCGGUAAUACGUAGGUGGCAAGCGUUGUCCGGAGUUAUUGGACGUAAAGCGCGCGCAGGCGGUCCUUUAAGUCUGAUGUGAAAGCCCACGGCUCAACCGUGGAGGGUCAUUGGAAACUGGGGGACUUGAGUGCAGAAGAGGAAAGCGGAAUUCCACGUGUAGCGGUGAAAUGCGUAGAGAUGUGGAGGAACACCAGUGGCGAAGGCGGCUUUCUGGUCUGUAACUGACGCUGAGGCGCGAAAGCGUGGGGAGCAAAC
rnacentral:rRNA from 1 species